UUUUGAGAUGGAGUCUCCACCUGUCACACAGGCUGGAGCGCAGUGGCAUGGUCUUGGCUCACUGCAACCUCUGUCCACCUCCCAGGCUCAAGCGAUUCUCCUGCCUCAGCCUCCCGAGUAGCUGGGACUACAGGCGCCCGCCACCAGGCCUGGCUAAUUUUCGUAUUUUUAAUAGAGAUGGAGUUUCACCAUGUUGGCCAGGCUGGUCUCGAACUCCUUACCUC
rnacentral:lncRNA from 1 species